CUGGAGGGAGUGAUGAAGGCCAUGUUAAGUCUGUGCGAACUGGGAAGAACAUUCAGGGUGGGCUGUGAGUGAGUCUGCAUGGGGUCCAAAACAGGUGAUACUUUGUGUCACGGGUUAGCAGACCCGGACACCCAACUGCCCCGACCACAGUCAGCCCACCACAAUGCAAGACCGGGCCCCGGGAGAACCUUGCCCCCUCCCUCCCGAAGGAUAGCGCCCCCCGCAGGCCAGUGCACACUCACACUCUGGCAGGU